AGUGAACGCUGGCGGUAGGCCUAACACAUGCAAGUCGAACGGCAGCACAGUAAGAGCUUGCUCUUACGGGUGGCGAGUGGCGGACGGGUGAGGAAUACAUCGGACUCUACUUUUUCGUGGGGGAUCACGUAGGGAAACUUACGCUAAUACCGCAUACGCCCUACGGGUGAAAGCAGGGGAUCUUCGGACCUUGCGCGAUUGAAUGAGCCGAUGUCGGAUUAGCUAGUUGGCGGGGUAAAGGCCCACCAAGGCGACGAUCCGUAGCUGGUCUGAGAGGAUGAUCAGCCACACUGGAACUGAGACACGGUCCAGACUCCUACGGGAGGCAGCAGUGGGGAAUAUUGGACAAUGGGCGCAAGCCUGAUCCAGCCAUACCGCGUGGGUGAAGAAGGCCUUCGGGUUGUAAAGCCCUUUUGUUGGGAAAGAAAAGCAGCAGGUUAAUACCCCGCUGUUCUGACGGUACCCAAAGAAUAAGCACCGGCUAACUUCGUG
rnacentral:rRNA from 1 species